AUUACCGCGGCUGCUGGCACAAAUUUAGCCGGUGCUUAUUCCUCAGGUACCGUCAGCCCCACAAGGUAUUAACCCGUGGUAUUUCGUUCCUGAAAAAAGUGCUUUACAACCCGAAGGCCUUCUUCACACACGCGGCAUUGCUGGAUCAGGCUUGCGCCCAUUGUCCAAUAUUCCCCACUGCUGCCUCCCGUAGGAUUCUGGGCCGUGUCUCAGUCCCAGUGUGGCUGAUCAUCCUCUCAGACCAGCUAGCGAUCGUCGCCUUGGUAGGCCAUUACCCUACCAACUAGCUAAUCGCACAUCGGUCCGUCCAACCGCGCAAGGUCCGAAGAUCCCCCGCUU
rnacentral:rRNA from 1 species